rnacentral:miRNA from 1 species
GUGUGUGUACAUGUUUGUGUGAAGAUACACACACACACACACACACACACACACACACACACAUGCACACUCCCA